UGGAAAAGAUCCUGGGCAGUCAUCGUUGAUUGAGGGUUUUACUGCUGGUGGUUUUAUAUAUAUUGCCCUCGCUGGUGUUUUGGCUGAAAUGAACAACGGCACAACAGCUUUGAGGAACACAGCGAUACAAUUAGUGUCGUUGCUAAUGGGAAUGACUGAGCCCUUUGUAUAUCACUUGUAGAAUGAUAGAGAUUAUAGUUUUUUCUUCUUGAGGAAUGUACAAUGUCAAAAAAUAUGAAUUAUUCCUUCUAUUAUCA